ensembl:misc_RNA Metazoa_SRP Metazoan signal recognition particle RNA
GCUGGGCAUGGUGGCGCAUGCCUGUAAUCCCAGCUACUUGGGAAGCUGAGGUAGGAGAAUUGCUUGAACCCAGGAGGCGGAUGUUGCAGUGAGCUGAGGUUGUGCCACUGCAAUCCAGCCUGGAUGACAGAGUAAAACUCCAUCUCAA